UUUUGCUUUUGUUUUGUUUUGUUUUUUUCUCCUGGGAAAACUUUGUUUCUGUGCCAAGCAUUCUCUGCUUUCGUCAAUGUCUUAUAGUUAUGAAGGGUUAGCAUUUAGCACACUUUGUAUUUAACCACCUUUUUCUAUGACUGAGUCUCCAAAUACCCAUGUGAUGAAGAGGUCUAUGUUACAAAAUGACUGUUAAAGGCCAUUUCUGACAGUUUGCUAGAAUACAGUGGCACCUUGUGGUUGACUUUUUUUUUUAACAGAUGGAGGAUAAUUUUUUUAUCCUCUAUGAAAGGAAAUAAUUUGUAAUCUGCCUUAGCUGAUUUGUUUAAUGUUUUUCCUGACAGGCUUCUGUGACACAUGUCUUACCAAAAAUAUGCAGUACCUGGAAGCCAUUUUCACAGGGCACUUAGGUUCUUGGCUAAUCUUCUAAGACUGUUCUGAUUCUUGCUCUCUUGAAGUAUUCUUUCUGUACCUUUGUAAGGAGGUAGAGAGGGCACACGUGAAGGUGUCUCUUUUUCCCCUUUAGUACAGUUCAGUAUGUUUAAUGCUCAGUAACAGUGUUGUAAUUGAGUUAACUAGUAAAUGGUUCUUUUAAAAGUCAUUUUUAAGUGUACGUUGAUGUAUCAUGCCUCACUUGGGAAGUUAAAGUGCAAGGUCUGAGGAAAGAGUAUUUCUAAGUCCCAGUUUAAGCAAAAACAGCCGUGAGCUUAAUCAAUAUCCACCCUUUAGAUUUUUGUAACAUUCUGAAUUACCGGUAUUGAGGUAAGGUCUUGCCGCGACUCACAGCUGGCCUGGACCUCGGAACCAGGCUGUCUUCAAACUUGUGGCAGGCCUCAUGCCUCUGCCUCUUGAAUGUUAGGAAUGCAGGUACUUAGCACUCGAUUCCUUUACCUUCACUGGAUCAUUUCUAAAAUGCUAUCCAACACUCCAGGAAGUGAGUGGCCUCCUGUAAGUCAUCAUAGUUUGUAUCUAAAAGCCUACAGCUUAGAAUAGAACUACUACCGGGGAUGUUUUUUUAAGUAUCAGGUUUAUGAUUUUUUUUCAUGUCCAUGUAGAUGUCUGGAUUAAAAUCUUAAAAAGGUUAACUCAAAAUUACAGUGAGAUAUGGGACUUUUUGAAUAUUUUGAGAGGGUCUUGUUUUCUAGCCCAGGCUGGCCUGGAAUUAGUGGUCCUCCUGAUUAGGGGAUUAUUGAUGUGUGUGUCCCCCCACCCAGCAAAGAUGUGUUUACUGAAGUCCCACAGCUGCUGUCUAGUCAUUUGGGAAAAGCAGCUAGAGAUGCGCAGUGAAGGUGAACCCUGUCAGACCACUGUGCCUUGUUUCAAGGAUUUUCUCAGUUCUCAUUCUGAAGAUUGUUUCCAGUUGCAAGUUAGAGUCAAGCCAGCUACCCAGCCUUAACUCUGUUCAGUGCCCUGUUACUAAUGUUUUUAACGGGUUGGUUUCUACAUGUUUAAACUGUCCAGCAGUUGGAUUUUACCUCUUGAUAGUUCCGUUUGUCCCUGGUGCUGCUUUUAAAGGUAUAGGGCCCUGUGAAGUGUCCAGUGGAGUAGGUACGCAGUUGGCCUGGUAAUGGAAAAGCUGCUUUGGAAUAGAUGUUUACUUGGGUUCCUGUGCAGAACUGGGCAGCAAUCCUGGAAAGCUCUGUAAAGCCCGUAAGGAAGGAUUUGAAGAGGGCUGCCCUUAAGUCUUUGAACAUGAAGCACUUGUGUGCAUGCUGUCAAAAGACUGCAGUGAUUGUCAUCCCAGGCUUCCUGACCUCCAGGAAACACUUUGGAAAGGCGACAGAGGAGCACCAAGGGAAGGGAAUUUGCUUGGCUUGUUUUGUCUGCUUUCUCAUUUCCUUACCAUUUAAACCUGAACGAAACACCCUUCUCCGGUAUCUGAUCCAGCAAACUCUUGGUUGGGAAGCCCUGUGUUGAAUUUUGAGAAUGUACCCGACUUUUUGUACAGUGCUUUACACCUGCUAAAACUUAACUUGUUAAUGCAGAAGAAGACCUUGAAAGGUCAGUCAUCAAAUCUGGUUUGAUUAUUAAUAGCUAUCUUUUAGGAAGAAGCUUUUUCCCUCUAUGUAUGAUGUCAUACUGCAGACUUAAAAUAUAGACUAUCAAUAAAAUGCAU
ensembl:lncRNA AABR07039328.2